ACAAUGAAAGCUUUUUUCCAUUUCUGAUUGAAUAAAACAAAUGACAAACAAAACAAAAAGAGGAAAAUAUAAUCCUACUCAGCCAAAACUCUUAUUACUUAAUAGGCCAGACCAUAUUAAAAGGAUAGAGCAUAAACACAAACCUUCACUUUCUGAUGUUGCAUCUAACUCCUCCUGAAGAAAUGGUCCCUCUUCAUUAAGAUCUUCAAUCACAUGAGAGCUGAGAAAUUCCGGAUUUACAGUUGCCUGUAGAA